CCUACGGGGGGCAGCAGUAGAGAAUCUUUCACAAUGGGCGAAAGCCUGAUGGAGCAACGCCGCGUGCAGGAUGAAGGCCUUCGGGUUGUAAACUGCUUUUAUAAGCGAGAAAUAUGAUGGUACCUUAUGCAUAAGGAUCGGCUAACUACGUGCCAGCAGCCGCGGGCAUACGUAGGAGCCGAGCAUUAUCCGGAGUGACUGGGUGUAAAGAGUUGCGUAAGUGGCAUAAUAAGUAGCUAGUGAAAUCUGGUGGCUCAACCAUUCAGACUAUUAGCUAAACUGUUAAGCUCGAGACCGUUAGGGGUAACUGGAAUGUCUAGUGUAGGAGUGAAAUCCGUAGAUAUUAGAAGGAACACCAAUAGCGUAGGCAGGUUACUGGGACGGUACUGACACUAAGGCACGAAAGCGUAGGUAGCAAACGGGAUUAGAUACCCCGGUAGUC
rnacentral:rRNA from 1 species